rnacentral:rRNA from 1 species
UGAGGAAUAUUGGUCAAUGGGCGAGAGCCUGAACCAGCCAAGUAGCGUGCAGGAUGACGGCCCUAUGGGUUGUAAACUGCUUUUAUGCGGGGAUAAAGUGUGCGACGUGUCGUGCAUUGCAGGUACCGCAUGAAUAAGGACCGGCUAAUUCCGUGCCAGCAGCCGCCGUAAUACGGAAGGUCCGGGCGUUAUACGGAUUUAUUGGGUUUAAAGGGAGCGUAGGCCGCAAGAUAAGCGUGUUGUGAAAUGUACCGGCUCAACCGGUGAAUUGCAGCGCGAACUGUUUGGCUUGAGUGCACUGUAAGCAAGCGGAAUUCAUAGUGUAGCGGUGAAAUGCUUAGAUAUCAUGAGGAACUCCGAUUGCGAAGGCAGCUUGCUGCAGUGCGACUGACGCUGAUGCUCGAAGGUGCGGGUAUCAAACAGG